CGGGGUCGGGAGAGGAUGAGCGAUCCGGCGUGGAGGGGGGUCACGUCCACAUUACCAAGGUUCUUCUGCGGGGCCAGGGGACUAUUGGCCUUUAGGGGAGGUAGCUGGUGACCCGUGUCCUCGCCCUUUAAGUUCCCCUGAGCGAAUCAGGGCGCCACCUACAGGCGAGAUCCAGAUAGCUGGAGGGAGAAAGGGAGACACGCCUGCAGUGUGGCUCCGUGGAAAACUGGGCCCUGUGGUUUUGUCCAGAGCCAUCUCUCAGCUCCUGAGUCUGAGAAGAAGGAACAUCAGUUCAGGAAGCUCAGGGGAGUCACCUGGAGCCAGGUCAUGGAGAGCACAGAUCUUCUGACUACACAUCCUGGUGCCUUCUGUUGCAUCGCAACUUAGGAUGGUCCCACUGGCUUUGGGGAACUUGAAAAAGUUAUCAAGAAAGGUCCAGCCAUGAUAUUUCUGCUUGCCAGUGCAUUAUCAAGAGCUCAGACUUUAACUGCGUUUCACCUCCAGCUUCUACACACUGAGAGUGUUUCUAAUAAUAUAAUAGAUUUCCAUUUUGAAACAGAUGCCGCAGGAGAUUCAUUAGCCGGAAAAAAUCCCAUCGUGUAACUAACACCAUAAAGUUAUCAAAUUUAAGGUCAGUCAGAUGGCUUUGGAUUGUCAGCGUUUGGGGACCAGUUGGUAAUAAGAUAAGAGGGCUUUGUGAGGGAAAACCAGUUGAAACCAACACAUAUUUGUGGAAUGCAUUUUAUGUGUUCUACUCUGUUCUAGGUGCUAACAGAGAUAUGGAGAAAUAUAGUUCACAUUCUAAGCUUUAAGGUACAAACUUUCCCCCCUCUCUAAUCCUCAGGUCCACACCUUAGUUCUGUCAUAAUAAAGUGAUGGGGUUAAUGUUCAAAGAACAUAUGACCUACCUCAAAUGUUGAGCUGUCAUAUUACCCUUCUGAAAUUAUUAUCUUCAUCCUAGAAUUUUAAUGUUAUUCCAUCAUCUUUGUGUAUAUUUAUAUAAAUGAAUAAAUUGAGAAAAGGCUUUAGGAAAGGUGAUACUAUAGUUUAUGGCCUCAUUUGACAUGGUCACACAGACAGUCAGACAAUUAAGUUUGCAAACUCAUCCUAGAAAAAAUGCUAUAUAUUUCAUUGCUGAAUAU